AUGAAAUCAUUGGCCCCACGUGAGAGAAUCAAUGCAGAUGUAUGGGCCUUAGUAUUUUUGAUUAAGAUCAAUUCAUCAUCACAGAUUCUCUCUUGUACCACCUCUUCUGCUUGUCCCAACAUUGUAGCUUUAAAAGUUUCUCCACCUUCCAAAUUGGCCAAGGUUGAGAGGAUAGUUGCUCCAGAAGCUUUAGCAAUGCAUUUAGGGUCCCUUUUCAAGACUCUUCUAACUGCCAUAGCACCCGCCUCCGCGAAAUACUUCAGACACAUGUCAUCAGUUCCACCAGUGGUCAGGAUAACACUGGUAUGUGCAAAACCCUGGGUUUGAGUCCCAGCACAUUAGAAAAUUUCUAACACCAAGUAGACUACAGUCAGGAACAGAGACACACGGACGGCCUGCUUUUAGCACGCAGGAUCCCAAUGUGACCACAGGCUUGAAAGACCAAUCUAGGGACACCAUCGCCGCCCCUCCUUUGGUCCCAUUUUGGUCUCAUGCACUUCCGGGCACUUUGCACAGUUACAGUGGAGGUCUCCAGUGCGCAUGUCACACCAGCUCCUUCCAGGGUGACCCCAGAGGGGAAGCCCAGAUGAUUCGCGCCAGCUGCAACAUUUGUCACUCUCCCCGACUCCAGCCCACCACCCCCAUGGUGCUGUCCCAAGGCAGACACCCCGCAGCUCCUGUUACCUCCCCCAGAGCCCUGUGCCGCCACGCACCCUCUGUAAUGUCUACUCAGAGGUCUGUCCCUCCCCAGACCCUGGUGGUCCCUGGCAUGGGUGACCACAUUCUGCUCAUCUGUGCAUAGGUGAGGCAUCUGCCACCUAGAAGAGGGCUGGAGAAACAUUCUGAAACAAACAAAAAUGAGCAAAUAUCCCGAUGCAGUGGACACACCUGUAAUCCCAGCUACUCAGGAAGCUGAGGCAGAAGGAUCACAAGUUUGAGGCCAGUCUGGGCUACAGAGUGAGUUCAAGACCAGCCUGAAUUACAUAGUGAGACCCUGUCUCAAAAGCAAUUUUUAAAAAUUAAAAUUAAAAAAGGGUUGGUGAUGUAGCUUAAUGUGAAUGCCUUGGGUUCAAUUCUCAGUGACUCCCCAAAAAGGGGUGCUAGAUGUAGCUCUGGGGUACAGGGUCCCUAGGUUCAAUCCCCAGUAUGGGGGUGGGGAGGAGCGAAUGGGGACUGUUAGCCAAGUAAAGUAGAACCAUCUUAAGGAUGUUCAUUUCCCACUCUGUUAUUUAUAAUCAAGACCUGAGCGCCCUUUUCAUUUUCUUCUUUCCCUUCAUGAGUCCCACCCCCCAGAGGCUGACAGGUUGAAGCUGCCCAAGUACUCAGGGUGUCCAGGCAAGCUGGCCUCUGUCCCUGUGGGUGCUCCUACGGUCAGGUCUCUGGGCUUUCUGGGGCCUCCUUAAUCCUCUUGAAUUUUGAUUUUUGCGGAAGUUUCCUUGAAGAACCUGAAAGAGAGGUCAGAGAAGGACCCAAUAACAUCACAAAUAGUAAAAGAAUCUCAAAAGCAUAUGGAGGAUAUGAAGCUGGGAGUGGUGGCCCACGCCUGUAAUCCUAGCACUGCGGAGGCUGAGGCAGGAGGG
rnacentral:lncRNA from 1 species